CAGGUAUACAUUAAAGGAUACUUGGUGUAAGCUGUAAAGUAACGGGUCUUAUGCACAAAAUGUUGUUUCUCUAUUUUCUGCAUGUUUGUAUAUUUUUGGUUCCAUCUUCUAUAAAGUUAACUAAUUAUACAUGGUUAUGAUAAUUUUUUGGUAUGGAAUGAUUUUUUUUUGGUGGUUUGUAUAUGUAUUGAUGAUUGUAAGUUUUGUAGAUAGGUUUAAAAUUCUUUGGAGUUCUAUUUUUAAAGGAAACUCUGCCGAAAUUUCUUGAAAUUAGUACCGACUAGCUUGAUGUUUUGGUGGUUGGAUAUGUGUUUAUGAUUGAGUAUUAACUCUCAUUUCAAUUUUUUUUCAUAAUUUUUUUUUAAUUUUUUGAGAAUUAUACAGUGUCUUCAGGCACGGGUUAUCGCUGCCAAAUAGCUCGAUGGUUGAGUUUGUAUUAAUUGUUACGUCGUGCCUUCAGGCACGGGUUAUAGUUGGCUUGAUGUUUUGAUGGUUAGAUAUGUGUUGAUGAUUGUUUGUAUUUUGUGUGUUUCGUAUUUUGUAAAAUUAACUAAUUAUACAUGGUUAUGAUGAUUUUGGGUAUGGAAUGAUGAUUUUUUUAGUGGUUUGGAUAUGUAUUGAUGAUUGUAAGUUUUGUA
rnacentral:lncRNA from 1 species